AUACGGAGGGUGCAAGCGUUAUCCGGAAUCAUUGGGUUUAAAGGGUCCGUAGGCGGGCAAAUAAGUCAGAGGUGAAAUCCCACAGCUAAACUGUGGAACUGCCUUUGAUACUGUUUGUCUUGAGUUAUAGUGAAGUAGAUAGAAUAUGUAGUGUAGCGGUGAAAUGCAUAGAUAUUACAUAGAAUACCGAUUGCGAAGGCAGUCUACUAACUAUUGACUGACGCUAAUGGACGAAAGCGUGGGGAGCGAACAGGAUUAGAAACCCUAGUAGUCC
rnacentral:rRNA from 1 species